rnacentral:tRNA from 4 species
GGGCCAUUAGCUCAACUGGCAGAGCAGCGGACUUUUAAUCCGCGGGUUCAGGGUUCGAUCCCCUGGUGGCCCACCA